CCACCUGGGAUCUGCUCCAGAGGAGCUUCUGAGACCACCCAAGACCCCAAAAUCCACCUGGGAUCUGCUCCAGAGGGGCUUCUGAGACCCCCCCAAAGCAGGGGGAGACCCCAAAAUCCACCUGGGAGCUGCUGGAGACACCGAAAUCCGCUUGGAAUGUGCUGCAAAGGGGCUUUGAGACCCCCCCCCCAGAUCUAAGGAGGGAACCCCAAAAUCCACCUGGGAUCUCUUUGGAAACACUGAAAUCCACCUGGGAUCUAGGACCCCAAAAUCCACCUGGAAUCCGCUCGGGAAACCCCGAAAUCCGCCUGGGAUCUGCUCCAGGGGGGCUUCUGAGACCCCCCCAAAAAUCUGGGAAGGACCCUGAAAUUCCCUUGGGACGUCCCAAAAUGCACCUGGAACCUUCUCGGGGGAGGGGGACCCCAAACCCACCUGGGACCCCCCAAAAAAGGAGCCAAACCCCUCAGAAUCUUCUCUGGAAAGGAACCAAAGCCCCCCCCGGACCCCAAUAAAGGCCCCGGUGACUCCUC